GUAUAGGGGCUGACGCCUGCCCGGUGCUGGAAGGUUAAGAGGAGUGGUUAGCUUCUGCGAAGCUACGAAUCGAAGCCCCAGUAAACGGCGGCCGUAACUAUAACGGUCCUAAGGUAGCGAAAUUCCUUGUCGGGUAAGUUCCGACCCGCACGAAAGGCGUAACGAUUUGGGCACUGUCUCAACGAGAGACUCGGUGAAAUCAUAGUACCUGUGAAGAUGCAGGUUACCCGCGACAGGACGGAAAGACCCCGUGGAGCUUUACUGUAGCCUGAUAUUGAAAUUCGGCACAGCUUGUACAGGAUAGGUAGGAGCCUUUGAAACGUGAGCGCUAGCUUACGUGGAGGCGCUGGUGGGAUACUACCCUAGCUGUGUUGGCUUUCUAACCCGCACCACUUA
rnacentral:rRNA from 1 species